CAGUCGCCGCGGGAAUACGAAGGGGGCUAGCGUUGUUCGGAAUUACUGGGCGUAAAGGGCGCGUAGGCGGCCAUACAAGUUAGAUGUGAAAGCCCUGGGCUCAACCUAGGAAUUGCAUUUGAUACUGUUUGGCUUGAGUUCGGGAGAGGUGAGUGGAAUUCCGGUGUAGCGGUGAAAUGCGUAGAUAUCGGAAGGAACACCUGUGGCGAAAGCGGCUCACUGGACAAUAACUGACGCUGAUGCACGAAAGCUAGGGGAGCAAACAGGAUUAGAGACCCCUGUAGUCCCUGUCUCUUAACAC
rnacentral:rRNA from 1 species